AAUAGAUACCCGGUAGUCCACGCCGUAAACGAUGAGUGCUAAGUGUUGGGGGGUUUCCGCCCCUCAGUGCUGCAGCCAACGCAUUAAGCACUCCGCCUGGGGAGUACGGUCGCAAGACUGAAACUCAAAGGAAUUGACGGGGGCCCGCACAAGCGGUGGAGCAUGUGGUUUAAUUCGAAGCAACGCGAAGAACCUUACCAGGUCUUGACAUCCCGGUGACCACUAUGGAGACAUAGUUUCCCCUUCGGGGGCAACGGUGACAGGUGGUGCAUGGUUGUCGUCAGCUCGUGUCGUGAGAUGUUGGGUUAAGUCCCGCAACGAGCGCAACCCUUAUUCUUAGUUGCCAUCAUUCAGUUGGGCACUCUAAGGAGACUGCCGGUGAUAAACCGGAGGAAGGUGGGGAUGACGUCAAAUCAUCAUGCCCCUUAUGACCUGGGCUACACACGUGCUACAAUGGACGGUACAAACGGUUGCCAACCCGCGAGGGGGAGCUAAUCCGAUAAAACCGUUCUCAGUUCGGAUUGUAGGCUGCAACUCGCCUACAUGAACG
rnacentral:rRNA from 1 species